rnacentral:snRNA from 1 species
GCCCGAAAUGGCCUACUCAA